AUUGAACGCUGGCGGCAUGCCUUACACAUGCAAGUCGAACGGCAGCACGGGUGCUUGCACCUGGUGGCGAGUGGCGAACGGGUGAGUAAUACAUCGGAACGUACCUUAUCGUGGGGGAUAACGCAGCGAAAGCUGUGCUAAUACCGCAUAAGCCCUGAGGGGGAAAGCGGGGGAUCGAAAGACCUCGCGCGAUUAGAGCGGCCGAUGCCUGAUUAGCUUGUUGGUGGGGUAAAAGCCCACCAAGGCGACGAUCAGUAGCUGGUCUGAGAGGACGAUCAGCCACGCUGGGACUGAGAAACGGCCCAGACUCCUACGGGAGGCAGCAGUGGGGAAUUUUGGACAAUGGGGGCAACCCUGAUCCAGCAAUGCCGCGUGAGUGAAGAAGGCCUUCGGGUUGUAAAGCUCUUUUGUCAGGGAAGAAACACCGGCUCUAACACAGUCCGGGAAUGACGGUACCUGAGGAAUAAGCACCGGCUAACUACGUGCCAGCCGCCGCCGUAA
rnacentral:rRNA from 1 species